ACCUCAAAAUAAAUAAACUUAAAAAAAAAAAAGAGUGGGAUGUUUAACUGACUGAGCCACUGAGCCAACCCAAGCUUUCUUUUCAAAAAGAUUUUUGCCUACUCCUUUUCAGAGAGAUAGCAAGACAUGUUUGACUGAAGAACAUCUGCCACCUUUUGGUUAUCCAGUGUAGUGUAGUACAGUUCCUUUUAUCCCACUUCCCUUUCUUUUCAUAGACUGGAAGAUGAUCCAAAAAUGAACGUGUUCAGAAAUGGAGGUAUACAUACAUGAAAGCUAAGGACAGUCCCGUGUAUCUAGGUCUCUAGGCAAUCUUUUCCUGGUCUUUUCAUCUUGGUAUUCUACCCUUAUCAGAAAAAAAAGAAAAAGGACUGUGCUGUAGACUCACUAUAUGAAAGUGCCUCACUUUCCUGAGAAUUUUGAUUCUUGUAUUCAAGAUAUAUGUGGAGUUUGGUUCAGUUAGAUUUAUGACACCAGAAUUGUUGAAAAGCAAUAAAUUACUACUAUAAUUUCUGUUUUAUUUUAAAUAAUAAUGAUCUCUGUUUUUAACUUGUUUGGGAAAGAACAAGCUAUGAACUUUUCUCAGCCUUUGAUGCAGGACUCCAGCUAAACUAGCAAAAGACACUGCCUCAAAGAAACUAAAUAUUUUUUUUCUUUAACAAUUUAACUUUCUAUCUUUUCGCCUUCAAGAUGUAUCAUUAUAAACUUCUUACAAACAAGGACUGUUUCUUCUCAUGGUAUCCUGCAGAUUGCCUUAUACAGACCUACAUAUGGCUAAUAAAAACUUGAGUAUUUUAAAACGGAUAGAGAACUUUGUGAAGGCUCAAAAGAACAAAGACCUACAAAAAUUAGGGGACUCCCAAGAUCCAUCUCCAAGAGCAAUGGUGUUCCCUGGGAGGGAGGAAACUCUUCAGAAGAGCAGAUAAAGCCAAGCAUACUGGCAUCGCUCACACAUCUGUCAGAAAAUUGCGGAGUUUUAAAAAAUCACUUCAGUCCAAAGUUAACCUAUUUGAAACUGACCACUGGGAGUUGGCCUCCUGUCUAAAGGUUUAGCUGUACUGACUGGGGACGAAGCAGUGAACCUACCAGAUCAGAUCCAUACCCUCGUGGAACUUACAUUCUAGUUGAUGAGACCAAUGUAAA